GACGAACGCUGGCGGCGUGCUUAACACAUGCAAGUCGAACGCUGAAGCUUGGUGCUUGCACUGGGUGGCUGAGUGGCGAACGGGUGAGUAAUACGUGAGUAACCUGCCCUUGACUCUGGGAUAAGCCUGGGAAACUGGGUCUAAUACUGGAUACGACAUGUCACCGCAUGGUGGUGUGUGGAAAGGGUUUUACUGGUUUUGGAUGGGCUCACGGCCUAUCAGCUUGUUGGUGGGGUAAUGGCCCACCAAGGCGACGACGGGUAGCCGGCCUGAGAGGGUGACCGGCCACACUGGGACUGAGACACGGCCCAGACUCCUACGGGAGGCAGCAGUGGGGAAUAUUGCACAAUGGGCGGAAGCCUGAUGCAGCGACGCCGCGUGAGGGAUAACGGCCUUCGGGUUGUAAACCUCUUUCAGCACGGAAGAAGCGAAAGUGACGGUACGUGCAGAAGAAGCGCCGGCUAACUACGUG
rnacentral:rRNA from 1 species